GGAAAUCUCACCAGGCCCGGACACUGGAAGGAUUGACAGAUUGAUAGCUUUUUCUUGAUUCGGUGGGUGGUGGUGCAUGGCCGUUCUUAGUAGGUUGAGUGUUUUGUCUUGUUAAUUCCGAUAACGAACGAGACCUUAACCUGCUAAAUAGUGACGCGGUUCAUCGAACCGUGGGCCACUUCUUAGAGGGACUAUCGGAUUCAAACCGAUGGAAGUGUGAGGCAAUAA
rnacentral:rRNA from 1 species